rnacentral:rRNA from 1 species
CCUACGGGAGGCAGCAGUGGGGAAUAUUGCACAAUGGGGGAGAGCCUGAUGCAGCGACGCCGCGUGAAGGAAGAAUGACCUAGGGGUGGAAACUUCUAUUAGUAGGGGAGAAAAUGGAGGUACGUGACCAAGACGCCACGGCUAACUACGAGCCAGAAGCCGCGGUAACACGUAGGGGGCAGGCGUUAUCCGGAUUUACUGGGUGUAAAGGGAGCGUAGGCGGUUUAGCAAGUGAGAAGUGAAAGUCUGGGGCUCAACGCCGGGACUGCAUUUGAAACUGGUGAACUUGAUUGCAGGAGAGGUAAGUGGAAUUCGUGGUGUAGCGGUGAAAUGCGUAGAUAUUAGGAGGAACACCAGUGGCGAAGGCGGCUUACUGGACUGUAACUGACGCUGAGGCUCGAAAGCGUGGGGAGCAAACAGGAUUAGAUACCCUUGUAGUC